rnacentral:rRNA from 1 species
CAAGUCGAGCGCCCCGCAAGGGGAGCGGCGGACGGGUGAGUAACACGUAAAGAAUCUGCCCUGAAGCGGGGAAUAACUAUCCCAACGGAUAGCUAAUACCGCAUAAUGAUGGAGGUGGCAUCACCUCUUCUCAAAAGGCUUCGGCCACUUCAGGAUGACUUUGCGUCCCAUUAGCUUGUUGGCGGUGUAACGGACCACCAAGGCGACGAUGGGUAUCCGGCCUGAGAGGGUGUACGGACACAUUGGGACUGAGAUACGGCCCAGACUCCUACGGGAGGCAGCAGUAGGGAAUUUUGCGCAAUGGGGGAAACCCUGACGCAGCAACGCCAUGUGUGGGAUGAAGCAUUUCGGUGUGUAAACCACUGUCAGCAGGGAAUAAAAGGCCUUAUAGGCAUUUGAAUGUACCUGCGAAGGAAGCCCCGGCUAACUUCGUGCCAGCAGCCGCGGUAAUACGAGGGGGGCAAAUGUUGUUCGGAAUCACUGGGCGUAAAGGGAGCGUAGGCGGGUUCUUAAGUAAGGUGUUUAAUCCCGGGGCCCAACCCCGGACCGGCACUUUAAACUGGGAAUCUUGAAUAGUGGAGAGGUCAGUGGAAUUGGGGGUGUAGCGGUGGAAUGCGUAGAGAUCCCCAAGAACACCAGUUGCGAAGGCGGCUGACUGGACACAUAUUGACGCUGAGGCUCGAAAGCAUGGGGAGCAAACAGGAUUAGAUACCCUGGUAGUCCAUGCCAUAAACGAUGAAUACUAGGUUUUGGGCCCGUCAACGGUCCAGAGCCGCAGCUAACGCGUUAAGUAUUCCGCCUGGGGGAGUACGGUCGCAAGACUGAAACUCAAAGGAAUUGACGGGGGCCCGCACAAGCGGUGGA